GAACUUCUGGGGUGCACGACAACUCCUGCUAUUUUGAACCUACAUUUAUUUUUAUGGGAUACUGAUAUUUAUAGAUGGAUGUCAAGCCUGCCAUGAUAGGAAGGCAGAAGUCUGUGUGGAGUAGCCCACCUAGCAUGGCUAGGACUCAAAAUGCAGGAAACGACACUUCCGGUUGUUCU
rfam:Clostridium sp. CAG:590 genomic scaffold, scf444